GGAAAUCGUGUCUACUGCUAUGCUAGAUCAAUUUCCAAAGACGCUUGGGCCUAAAAGAGUAUUUGUUACUGCAGCUAUAUGUUUGGUGGCAUUUCUGCUUGGUAUUAUCAUAUGCACACAGGGUGGUCCGUACAUCAUGCAACUCCUGGACUGGUACCUGGCGGCUCUCUCGGUGUUCCUCUUCUGUACCCUGGAGUGUGUGGCUGCUGUCUGGUUCUACGGUAUCAAGCAGCUAAGUGAUGAUAUCAACACGAUGUCUGGACGUCAUUUGCCUGUAUUGCUGAAAGUUA